GCAGGCUGGAAUCACAGGGCCGUGAAAACAAAGUGCUGGUGAAGCGGGCAUGGGGAGGGAGCCUGGCCUCCCUCUGCAGGAGACAGGCUGUCUGCCAAGCCCGGCACGCUCUUCAUUUGUUCACCUGCCCAUCUGCCCAUCCAUCCACCCACCCAUCCAUCUACUCCUGGAGUAGAUGCCGCCUCACUUACCCAUGCAUUCAUUCACUUAUUCAUUCACUCCUCCGUUCAGUAAACACUGACUGGGCACUGACUGUGUACCCAGCCCGGCCAAGGGAACGUGGGGGUCAACUGGACAUUUGGAUCCCGUGGACUCCUAGAUAAGGCUGUAUGUGUGUGGUGUGUUUUAUGUGGGUAUGAUGAGUAUGUGGUGUGUGUGUAAGCUGUAUAUGUGUAGUGAGUGUGUGUGGUGUGUGUUUUUGUAUUCUGUGAUGUGUGUGUAAGCUGUAUGUGUGUAGUGAGUGUGUGUGUUUUUGUUUGCUGUGGUGUGUGUGUAAGCUGUAUGUGUGUAGUGAGUGUGUUGUGUGUGUAAGUUGUAUGUGUGUAGUGAGUGUGUGUGUUUUUGUUUGCUGUGGUGUGUGUGUAAGCUGUAUGUGUGUAGUGUGUGUGUUUUUGUAUGCUGUGGUGUGUGUGUAAGCUGUAUGUGUGUAGUGUGUGUGUUUUUGUAUGCUGUAGUGUGUGUGUAAGUUGUAUGUGUGUAGUGUGUGUGUUUUUGUAUGCUGUGGUGUGUGUGUAAGCUGUAUGUGUGUAGUGUGUGUGUUUUUGUAUGCUGUGGUGUGUGUGUAAGCUGUAUGUGUGUAGUGUGUGUGUUUUUGUAUGCUGUAGUGUGUGUGUAAGUUGUAUGUGUGUAGUGAGUGUGUGUGUUUUUGUUUGCUGUGGUGUGUGUGUAAGUUGUAUGUGUGUAGUGAGUGUGUGUUUUUGUAUGCUGUAGUGUGUGUGUAAGCUGUAUGUGUGUAGUGAGUGUGUGUGUUUUUGUAUGCUGUAGUGUGUGUGUAAGCUGUAUGUGUGUAGUGAGUGUGUGUGUUUUUGUUUGCUGUGGUGUGUGUGUAAGUUGUAUGUGUGUGGUGAGUGUGUGUGUUUUUGUAUGCUGUGGUGUGUGUGUAAGUUGUAUGUGUGUAGUGUGUGUUUUUGUAUUCUGUGAUGUGUGUGUAAGCUGUAUGUGUGUAGUGAGUGUGUGUGUUUUUGUAUGCUGUGGUGUGUGUGUAAGUUGUAUGUGUGUAGUGAGUGUGUGUGUUUUUGUAUGCUGUAGUGUGUGUUGGCCCCAGGUACCCCUGCCAUUCUCCGCAGUGUAGCCUGCUGUAUAAGAAGCAGGAGGGGCCCAGCAACAGGGCAGCGGAAGCCUCUUGCUAUGACGGUGGCCUC
rnacentral:lncRNA from 1 species